CCCAGGGCUUACGGCCUGGGCUAUUCUCUGCCGCCCCGUUGGGGCU
rfam:Fimbriiglobus ruber strain SP5 contig02, whole genome shotgun sequence.